UUGCUGGCUAAGCAGGGGACUGUUUUAUUAUGGUCUCCAUUUUACCUUUAUUAAAUC
rnacentral:lncRNA from 1 species